rnacentral:misc_RNA from 1 species
AACGCACAUUGCGCCCCCUGGCAUUCCGGGGGGCAUGCCUGUCCGAGCGUCAUUUCUGCCCUCCAGCCCGGCUGGGUGUUGGGUGCUGUCCCCCCGGGGACACGCCCCAAAGGCAGUGGCGGCGCCGCGUCGGGUCCUCGAGCGUAUGGGGCUCUGUCACUCGCUCGGGAAGGACUCGCCGGCACUGGUCUCCUUCAAAAAAUUUUUCCGGUUGACCUCGGAUCAGGUAGGGUUACCCGCUGAACUUAA